rnacentral:rRNA from 1 species
CCUACGGGAGGCUGCAGUGGGGAAUAUUGGACAAUGGGGGGAACCCUGAUCCAGCGACGCCGCGUGAGUGAUGACGUAUUUCGGUAUGUAAAGCUCUAUCAGCAGGGAAGUAAGAAAUGACGGUACCUGACUAUGAAGCCUCGGCUAACUACGUGCCAGCAGCCGCGGGAAUACGUAGGGGGCAAGCGUUAUCCGGAUUUACUGGGUGUAAAGGGAGCGUAGACGGCGAUGCAAGUCUGAAGUGAAAGGCGGGGGCCCAACCCCCGGACUGCUUUGGAAACUGUAUGGCUGGAGUGCAGGAGAGGUAAGUGGAAUUCCUAGUGUAGCGGUGAAAUGCGUAGAUAUUAGGAGGAACACCAGUGGCGAAGGCGGCUUACUGGAGUGUAACUGACGUUGAGGCUCGAAAGCGUGGGGAGCAAACAGGAUUAGAUACCCGAGUAGUC